rnacentral:rRNA from 1 species
AGCGAACGCUGGCGGUAGGCCUAACACAUGCAAGUCGAACGGCAGCACAGUAAGAGCUUGCUCUUACGGGUGGCGAGUGGCGGACGGGUGAGGAAUACAUCGGAAUCUACUUUUUCGUGGGGGAUAACGUAGGGAAACUUACGCUAAUACCGCAUACGACCUACGGGUGAAAGCAGGGGAUCUUCGGACCUUUCGCGAUUGAAUGAGCCGAUGUCGGAUUAGCUAGUUGGCGGGGUAAAGGCCCACCAAGGCGACGAUCCGUAGCUGGUCUGAGAGGAUGAUCAGCCACACUGGAACUGAGACACGGUCCAGACUCCUACGGGAGGCAGCAGUGGGGAAUAUUGGACAAUGGGCGCAAGCCUGAUCCAGCCAUACCGCGUGGGUGAAGAAGGCCUUCGGGUUGUAAAGCCCUUUUGUUGGGAAAGAAAAGCAGCAGGUUAAUACCCCGCUGUUCUGACGGUACCCAAAGAAUAAGCACCGGCUAACUUCGUG